rnacentral:rRNA from 1 species
AUUGAACGCUGGCGGCAGGCCUAAAACAUGCAAGUCGAACGAGUGGCGGACGGGUGAGUAAUGUCUGGGAAACUGCCCGAUGGAGGGGGAUAACUACUGGAAACGGUAGCUAAUACCGCAUACCAUCGGAUGUGCCCAGAUGGGAUUAGCUAGUAGGUGGGGUAAUGGCGCACCUAGGCGACGAUCCCUAGCUGGCCUGAGAGGAUGACCGGCCACACUGGAACUGAGACACGGUCCAGACUCCUACGGGUGGCAGCAUUGGUGAAUAUUGCACAAUGGGCGCAAGCCUUGUGCAGACAUGCCGCGUGUAGGAAGAAGGCCUUCGGGUUGUAAAGUACUUUCAUCGAGGAGGCGUUACUCGCAGAAGAAGCACCGGCUAACUCCGUGCCAGCCGCCGCGGUAAUAC